rnacentral:rRNA from 1 species
AGCAGCCGCGGUAAUUCCAGCUCCAAUAGCGUAUAUUAAAGUUGCUGCAGUUAAAAAGCUCGUAGUUGAAUUUCGGGACCAAUAUGUCGGUCGUGCCUCGGUACGUACUGGCAUCGUUGGUUUCUCCUUUCUGAAGAACCAUGAUGUCAUUUAUUUGGUGUCGUGGGGAAUCAGGACUGUUACUUUGAAAAAAUUAGAGUGUUUAAAGCAGGCUCACGCUUGAAUACAUUAGCAUGGAAUAAUGAAAUAGGACGUUUGAUUCUAUGUUGUUGGUUUCUAGGAUCGACGUAAUGAUUAAUAGGGAUAGUUGGGGGCAUUAGUAUUCAAUUGUCAGAGGUGAAAUUCUUGGAUUUAUUGAAGACUAACUACUGCGAAAGCAUUUGCCAAGGAUGUUUUCAUUAAUCAAGAACGAAAGUUAGGGGAUCGAAGACGAUCAGAUACCGUCGUAGUCUUAACCAUAAACUAUGCCGACUAGGGAUCGGAUGAUGUUAAUUUUUUAAUGACUCAUUCGGCGCCUUACG